UGAGGAUUAUCUAUGCUUGCAAGGGACAAGUUUUCUCAGAAGCCAAGUAAUCCUUUCAGUGCUGUUCCUAAUGACUUCAUUUUAAAGAGAAAGGAAGUAAAGGGGGUAUAUUCUGUGUGUCCUUUUACAAUGUACUCAUUAUGCUGCUGAAAAGAAAAUUGCUCACUUGCUUGAAGAAUGUGGAAUUUAAGAGCACAAAUGUGAGACGACCAUGGAAAUAAACUCUUUUCAGUGCUGUAAUGGAGGACUGUGAAACCCUGCAUCAGAACCUGUGACUGGAACUAGGCAUCUCUCCUGUUGCAUGAUACAGCAUAUCAUCUGUGUCUUGCAUGCAGUUAAAAGUAAGAGCUACAUCCAU